UUGAACGCUGGCGGCAUGCCUUACACAUGCAAGUCGAACGGUAGAGGGGCAACCCUUGAGAGUGGCGAACGGGUGAGUAAUAUAUCGGAACGUGCCCAGUCGUGGGGGAUAACGCAGCGAAAGCUGCGCUAAUACCGCAUACGAUCUAUGGAUGAAAGCGGGGGAUCGCAAGACCUCGCGCGAUUGGAGCGGCCGAUAUCAGAUUAGGUAGUUGGUGGGGUAAAAGCCCC
rnacentral:rRNA from 1 species